rnacentral:rRNA from 1 species
UACAGAGGGUGCGAGCGUUAAUCGGAUUUACUGGGCGUAAAGCGUGCGUAGGCGGCUUUUUAAGUCGGAUGUGAAAUCCCCGAGCUUAACUUAGGAAUUGCAUUCGAUACUGGGAAGCUAGAGUAUGGGAGAGGAUGGUAGAAUUCCAGGUGUAGCGGUGAAAUGCGUAGAGAUCUGGAGGAAUACCGAUGGCGAAGGCAGCCAUCUGGCCUAAUACUGACGCUGAGGUACGAAAGCAUGGGGAGCAAACAGG